AACGAACGCUGGCGGCAUGCCUAACACAUGCAAGUCGAACGAGACCUUCGGGUCUAGUGGCCCACGGGUGCGUAACGCGUUGGAACCUUCCCUUAGGUUCGGAAUAACUCCCCGAAAGGGGUGCUUAUACCGGAUAAUGUCUUCGGACCAAAGAUUUAUCGCCCUUGGAUGGGCCCGCGUUGGAUUAGCUAGUUGGUAUGGUAAAAGACUACCCCGGCGCCGAUACAUAGCUGGUCUGAGAGGAUGAUCAGCCACACGGGGACUGAGACACGGCACAGACUCAUAGGGGAGGGAGGAGUGGGGAAUAUUGGAAAAUGGGCGAAAGCCUGAGCCAGCAAUGCCGCGUGAGUGAUGAAGGCCUGAGGGUUGUAAAGCUCUUUUACCCGGGAUGAUAAUGACAGUACCGGGAGAAUAAGCUCCGGCUAACUCCGUG
rnacentral:rRNA from 1 species